CACAAGGCAACAGAGGCGUUGACAGCAGCGAUGGAGAUGGAGAUGUUCAGAGUGGAGGAGCUGUUGGCUCGCUGCAGCCACCCCAGCAUCCCCGGAGGUGGGCACGGGGGGGGGCUUUGGUGCUGCACAAACGACUGCAGGCAGAGGUGUAGGAAAGCGAACGCCAUACGUUUAAUAAUUUAACGUACAAAACAGCAAAUAAAUGAUUAUAUUCCCAACCAUUUCCCACCCUAACAAUUGUUUCUGAUCCCACCCCCUAAAAUUCCCACCCUCUACUCAAUUUCCCACCCCCCAGCUCCCACCCCGCAAUCAAUUGCUCACCACCCACCCUCCUCCCCGCUUCCCCCCCG
rnacentral:lncRNA from 1 species